GUUUCCCUUUGACAUCGACUAACACCCUCACUAACGAGAUGGCGCUGGGAUCUGGGGGAGACCUCCAAGAUACCAGUGACAUCACACCCAGUAGGAAGAGCAAUAAAUGAACCACUUAACACCUAACCAAUUAUUAAUGUAUUAUUUCAUGUUAUCUCUGACAAAGCAUAUGAUGUAAUUUUGCUUUAUAAGGGGCAUGCCGUCCCCUCAGAAUAAACAUUCCUCAAGUUUUU
rnacentral:lncRNA from 1 species